CGGCUUCUCAUUGGCUGACGCUGCUGGGCGCGACUAUCCCGCGUCGUGCGGGGGUGGACUCUUGGCAGCCCGACGCUUUAGCCCCGUCCGCGUUCCCCCCGGUCUCGGAGCAGUGAGCCGGCCCGGCGCGCUCCUGCCCGCCCUCCCAGCCUCUCUUCCCGCUCUCUCUGCGCCUUUCCUUCUCCGCGCCUUCUGUCUCCUCCUCUCCUAAAGCUGUUUCUCCGCGGUUUAGUUGCUCUUUUUCUUUCUCGUCCACUUUUAUCUCCACUUUACCCUUGAUUUUUUUUUCCUCCUCUUGAUUCAUUUUGCUUUUUCCUUGGCCUGUCAAUCACUUGGGAGCACAGAUUAAAUUCUCAGACGUUUAACCCUAUCCAGUGUCUUGAUCUUCCGAGAAAGAAAACUUACACUCUUCAAUAGUCAACUAAUUGUUCCUGCCCUAACUAUGCAGGAAAAAAAUAAUUAAUAGGCAGGGUUUGUUUGUUUUUUAAAUUAUGGGGUCCUAAUUUAAGUAACGAACUAUAGCUGCAUUCGAGGGCUAACAUAGUCUACUCAGGACAUGUGGUUUCAGGUAAACCGGAAAAGGAAUGGGCUGAUUAAUGAUACUUACAUCAGGAAAAAGUACUUGGCUGGUAUUCAGGACACAGGGAUUAAUCAAGCUCCACCUUGUCGAGUCAGCGUCAUGGUGUACGGGCAAGAGUAACGCCCAACAGGCUUCAAAUACACUGGCGAUAUAGACUGACAGGAAUUGUGUGAAGGAAAAUAGCUACCCCGACCUCCGUGGCAGAUCAGCCCAGAACUGAGCGUGAAAUGGCUUCCAGGAACUAACAAGAAAAAAAAAAAUGCCUCUCAAGGAAGCCCAUCUUUCGUUCCAGGAUGUGGGACUUGCAUGGCUGUUGCCUAAGGCAGAAGAGAACUAGGCGAGCAAAGCAGCGAGGGACAAAAGCCUUUCCAAGAACCAGAUGUUCUGUUCAAGGCAGUUUGUGUUUGCCUGGCCCCAGCAUUGCCUUGAGAUCAUCAUUGCCUGCUAUUUGCCAGGAUAGCAGUGUCAGUCUAAGCUUCUAGUGCCAUGAGACGCUGGAAAAGUUAAGGCAAUGGAGACACCCAUCAUACACGAGGAAAUGACAGGCGCAGACGAGCUACCUGAAGAUACUCUUAAGCCCUGACCUACUCAGGCUGUUCAGUGCCUAUUUCACACAAAGGGUACAACUAGGCGGAGGGGCCAGGGGUGUAGACAUCCUGCUGGCCUGUUCCCUUUCCAGUGCUGUGCCCUGGGAACCUGUGCUCCAGCCUAGAGAAGAGGGUUUCUUUGUGUAAUUCAUCUUCCCAAGGGCAGCUGCACUUUUUGACAGUGACUGUAUGCCUCCAGAGGAGCCUAGUUGUGUAACAAAAACCUUAGCCUCAUUAAGCAACAACUCCAUUAUAAUCCUGGAAUCAGAUGCUUAGGUAGACAGUUCUACUCGUCCCACUUGUGUCCUUUCAUGCCAGUGCCUCACAGAGGUGGAAGAAUGUUGGAUAUCUGGCACCUCUGUGUCCCUUAAUAACGCUCUUCCAUCGAUGGUGAGAGUGCUUCCUUAUGGCUUUGUGGACCGUCUCCUCCAUCUGGAGGUCAUUCUGACCCACAAUCAGGGCAGCUCAGGAAUCUAAAGAGGAGGGAGCAGAAGCCCUCAAGUCUUCGAAAGCAUCCCUCUUUGUCUGUAUUCCAUCCACCAAGCAAGCACAAGCCCGGUGUGGAUUUGAGAGAGGAGGCAAGCCAGGGAGCAGUUGUACGCGCACGGCCUGAUGGACUUACUCAGCGCCAUUGAGAUAGACUCGCCCUGCAAAGACUGGGGUCCCCAGGAAUGCAUGGUAUUGUUCAAACUGAUUACAGUGACAAAAACGUAAUGAAGGCUGCCUGAUCAAGCCAAUCCUGACAGACUCAACUGCCAAGGAACCAGAAUGCUUUAUUAUAGAAGCAGGUAGAAUUGAGAGAAGAUGCCUGGAAACCUUAUAAACCAGAAAACAGGACUUCUGCUCUGAGCUCAACAUGCUCCCUUGCAGACUCACCUUAGAGGAUCAACCAGAACGGGACGAGACAGCAGAUGCUCCUGCUGCAGUGACUUCCCUACACUGAUGGACUGGAACCUGGAACUGUGAGCUGAACUAUAUUCUCAGCAACAAGAGAAACUCCGCACAGCUCCCAGGAAGGUGAGCAGCACCCCUGACUGUCAUGAGGCAUUUUCAUUACCUAUCCAGUUGUUAGGAAGAUCGUCUUUUUCUUCAAGUUAAUAUUGUUUUCUUUACUAAAUCUUACUGCGUAAAAAUUAACCACUUUAAAAUGUAUAAUUCAGUAGCAUUUGGUGCAUUUGCAAUAUUCUAAACCCACCUCUCUCCAGUUAUAUUUUCAUCCCAAAGCAGAGUACAUCGGAGAUGUCUUGAAAUGCCACUUUAACUCACAUACUGCUGUGAAACACAAAUAUUAGACUCCCAGAAGAUCUUGUUAUUGAAUACACUAUUUCAGUGUAUAAGUAGGGGGUGGAGAGGUGGUUCCAUGGUUAAGAACACUUAUUGCUUUUCCAGAUGACGAGGGUUCAUAUACAAAUCGCUAAUACCAAGCAGAGGGUUUUGUUUUUCUUUUUCCUUUUUCUUUCUUUCUUUUUUUUUUCUUUUAUCUUUUCGUAUGUGCAUGAAAUGGUGUAUCAAAUGUAUGUGUUUGUGUGUGAAUGUGGGAAUGAGAUUGCCAUAGCUUGUUCCUAAGGUCAGAGGACACCUCUAGUUUUGGGUCUAGAUCAUUUGAGGUCAAAAGACACACCCUAAAUCUGGGCCACACUUUCUUGUGGCAGCUUAUAUAAAGGGCAUGGAAGACUGAAGUUUUGGGUUUUGUUUUGUUUUGUUUUGUUUUUUGCCUGCUUGCCCUCAUUCUCUCUGGCAAGUUCAUCUAACGUGCUGCUAAGGCAUCUCUUCUCUGGUAGUAGAACCUACUUCAGGAUUCCAAUGCAGACUGAGAGACCAGCUGAGCCAUCCAGCUUGUGGAGAAAGCUACCAGAUCUUUGGCCUUUCUGUCAGGAGACAACAAUUGUUGGCCUGGCUGGACCACAGCUUGUUAGCCACUCUGGUAUCUAAGAGAGAGAUUGAGAUUCAGGAGGACUAGAGAUAGCUUGGCAGUUAAGAGUAAUUGUUCUUGCAGAGGACCCAUGUUUGAUUCUCAGCAUCCAUGUGGACCCACAACUGUCUGUAACUCCAGUACCAGAGGAUCUGAUGCCUUCUUCUGACCUCCUUGGGUACCAGGCACACUCGUGGUACACAGACAUACAUUCAAGCAAAACACUCAUACACAUAACUAAAUAAAUCUUUAAUAUAUUCUUCCAUUUAUUUAUUUAUUUAUUUAUUUAUUUAUUCUAUCAGUUCCUCUCGAGAGCCCUGACUAAUGCACUAAGCAUGCAUGCUUACUCAACUGAGCUACUAUAGACCCCCUGCCCACAGACACAGAGAGAUUGUCUAUCAUAAAUGUUUUAUAACAAAUACAUGAUAUCUUCAGCUUUCCUGUGUAAGUUAAUACAGUCAUAUGACUUUUCCUGUUGAUUUUUUUUUUAAGAUUUAUUUAUUGAUUAUAUGUAAGUACACUGUAGCUG
rnacentral:lncRNA from 1 species